AGUGAACGCUGGCGGUAGGCCUAACACAUGCAAGUCGAACGGCAGCACAGUAAGAGCUUGCUCUUACGGGUGGCGAGUGGCGGACGGGUGAGGAAUACAUCGGAAUCUACUUUUUCGUGGGGGAUAACGUAGGGAAACUUACGCUAAUACCGCAUACGACCUACGGGUGAAAGCAGGGGAUCUUCGGACCUUGCGCGAUUGAAUGAGCCGAUGUCGGACUAGCUAGUUGGCGGGGUAAAGGCCCACCAAGGCGACGAUCCGUAGCUGGUCUGAGAGGAUGAUCAGCCACACUGGAACUGAGACACGGUCCAGACUCCUGCGGGAGGCAGCAGUGGGGAAUAUUGGACAAUGGGCGCAAGCCUGAUCCAGCCAUACCGCGUGGGUGAAGAAGGCCUUCGGGUUGUAAAGCCCUUUUGUUGGGAAAGAAAAGCAGCAGGUUAAUACCCCGCUGUUCUGACGGUACCCAAAGAAUAAGCACCGGCUAACUUCGUG
rnacentral:rRNA from 1 species